UGGCACACUCCAGCUCCAUGGGGACAGAAAGCCCAGCACUCAGGACUCUUCCAGACCUCAACCUAUUUGGCUGCAACUUCCAUUUCAUUUGCAGACCUGAGCAGAAUGCUGCUUUGUCUAUAAUUAAAAGAAACAUCCCAUUGAAAAGAUUCAGUUACCUACUGUCAACCAAGGUCAGAAAAUAGGCAUAGCGCUAGCCAUGGAGACCAUAGUGGUGGGCAACGCAGACACGACCCUGUCGUCACAAAACUUAAAGUUUAAAGAAGACAGACUAAUAAAAUAAUCACAGAAACGAAUAUCUGCUGCGAAGCAGUAGGAAGUGCCCUGCGGUCUGUUUCCCCUAGCAGAGACUGGCCUUGUGGCGGAAGACCCCCGCGCGUAGGGAGGGCCGGUGCGGCGACUCCGGGCGGGGCGCG
rnacentral:lncRNA from 1 species